GGCUUCGUCGCUCAGCUGGUAGAACGCUUGCCGCGUGGAGGCAUGGUGUUUCUCUCGCUGGUUCAAAUCCAGCCGAAGCCC
rnacentral:tRNA from 1 species